rnacentral:rRNA from 1 species
UAAAUAGCCAGGCCGGCUUUGGCUGGUCGUCGGCUUCUUAGAGGGACUAACGGCGUCUAGCCGUUGGAAGUUUGAGGCAAUAACAGGUCUGUGAUGCCCUUAGAUGUUCUGGGCCGCACG